GAUGAACGCUGGCGGCGUGCCUAAUACAUGCAAGUCGAGCGAACAGACGAGGAGCUUGCUCCUCUGACGUUAGCGGCGGACGGGUGAGUAACACGUGGAUAACCUACCUAUAAGGCUGGGAUAACUUCGGGAAACCGGAGCUAAUACCGGAUAAUAUAUUGAACCGCAUGGUUCAACAGUGAAAGACGGUUUUGCUGUCACUUAUAGAUGGAUCCGCGCCGCAUUAGCUAGUUGGUAAGGUAACGGCUUACCAAGGCAACGAUGCGUAGCCGACCUGAGAGGGUGAUCGGCCACACUGGAACUGAGACACGGUCCAGACUCCUACGGGAGGCAGCAGUAGGGAAUCUUCCGCAAUGGGCGAAAGCCUGACGGAGCAACGCCGCGUGAGUGAUGAAGGUCUUCGGAUCGUAAAACUCUGUUAUUAGGGAAGAACAAAUGUGUAAGUAACUAUGCACGUCUUGACGGUACCUAAGCAGAAAGCCACGGCUAACUACGU
rnacentral:rRNA from 1 species